UCGUAUGUACUCGUGUGGUGUUUUAGUCACGAUCGUUUAAUCAUAGCAUUCCAAUUUCUAUCCAAUCGGCAUGCACAAACGACGCGCAGUUCAUCUUAUAUGGAGCAAGCCUCAGAAUAUCAGCGUGAUACAAAUGAAAGGAGAUCAUGUUUCUGCUGUUUCAAUUCAACAUCCUCAUCAAAGCGACAACCACGCCUUGUUGAUGUAAUCAUUGUAAUGUCAGGCGAUUUUAAGCCUUCCUCAAACAUGAUUCCUUAAAAAGUUCUUUUUUGUGCGCGGUUGGGUUCUUUCUAUUUAUCGUAGUAUCCAUCGAAACAAAGGAAUACUGUAAUCUGUGCAGAGCGAACUUAAUAUGAUGGUGAUGCUGUGACAACGAUGCAUGCCUGUUUAAUAGGAUAUGUUUAAUUUGAUUGGCGGGUAGUAUAUGCUUAAAACGAUUAUUGCCACAGAAACGAUUCAUGCUAUUUGUUGCUGUUGUUACCAGAAGCUACUGUGUACUAUCGAUUUUUUGUCUCAUAAAAAUAUUUUUCUUCCAUUCCAUAUUUUGCAACACUGACUGUCGAAGACAACGGGAAAAACUGUCACGCGAUCUCCGUCGUUCUGAUUAACAGACCAAGGCUGCUGGGAACAAAGUAUAUUUAAUGCGUUUUCAAUUUUAGUAUUUAUUGACUUAUUUCUAAACGACUAUAAGCAUAUAGAAUGUGAGGGGUAUCGCAUAAGGUAGAAAUAACUUUUUGCAUGAGCGUCCAUACUUGUCCUUGCUACCUGCUAGAGCCCACAUCUCGAUUUCUUGAAAAAAUGUGGAAAAAAUAAUUGUAUUUUUAAA